rnacentral:tmRNA from 3 species
GGGGCUGUUACGGAUUCGACAGGCAUUGUCGCACAUGAACUGCAACUGCUGCUGGCAUCAGGAUAAUCUGCCGCAGAAAUAUAACUGCAAAAAAUAACACACAAAAUUACGCUUUCGCUGCCUAAACCACAGCUAGCGUGCCAGAUUUUAAUUCGCUGAUGAUUAUUUGACGGUCUAAACUUUUAGUCAGAUACGAUUUUACGGCUUGUUUCCCGUAAAAUAAGAGCCUUUGAAACAUCGCAAUACACUGCUGUUUGAGACUUACUUUGGUGCUUUGUUAAAUUUGAGAAAGUCCUAUGGUUGUAGACGUUGAUGCAGCAAGAUGUUUGGACAGGGGUUCAAUUCCCCUCAGCUCCAUUA